rnacentral:rRNA from 1 species
AUUGAACGCUGGCGGCGUGCCUAAUACAUGCAAGUCGAGCGAAUGGAUUAAGAGCUCGCUCUUAUGAAGUUAGCGGCGGACGGGUGAGUAACACGUGGGUAACCUGCCCAUAAGACUGGGAUAACUCCGGGAAACCGGGGCUAAUACCGGAUAACAUUUUGAACCGCAUGGUUCGAAAUUGAAAGGCGGCUUCGGCUGUCACUUAUGGAUGGACCCGGGUCGCAUUAGCUAGUUGGUGAGGUAACGGCUCACCAAGGCAGCGAUGCGUAGCCGACCUGAGAGGGUGAGCGGCCACACUGGGACUGAGACACGGCCCAGACUCCUACGGGAGGCAGCAGUAGGGAAUCUUCCGCAAUGGACGAAAGUCUGACGGAGCAACGCCGCGUGAGUGAUGAAGGCUUUCGGGUCGUAAAACUCUGUUGUUAGGGAAGAACAAGUGCUAGUUGAAUAAGCUGGCACCUUGACGGUACCUAACCAGAAAGCCACGGCUAACUACGUGCCAGCCGCCGCUGUAA